rnacentral:rRNA from 1 species
UACAGAGGUCUCAAGCGUUGUUCGGAAUCAUUGGGCGUAAAGCGGAUGUAGGUGGCUUUGUAAGUCAGGUGUGAAAGCCCAGGGCUCAACCCUGGAAGUGCAUUUGAUACUGCGAAGCUUGAGUGCUGGAGAGGCUACUAGAAUACCUGGUGUAGUGGUGAAAUACGUAGAUAUCAGGUGGAAUACCGGAGGCGAAGGCGGGUAGCCAGCCAGACACUGACACUCAGAUCCGAAAGUGUGGGGAUCAAACAGG